AGCUACGCCAAGAUGAAAAUUUUCCACGGGAUCCAACAUGCUAAUCACUUGCAAGUUAUAAAUGCGAUUACUGACUUCCAGUCACGACAUAGUGGGUCGGGGGUGUUGUGGGCUUUUGUUACGACAUAAAGAUGUUAUCCCGUAGCUAAUGACCAGAGAGGCAGAAACUUCGUACUUUUUAUUCAACUAAUACAGAACAACCCACGUUCACAUGAGAUGAGAAAGUAACCUCCCCCUAUACUCCUUCGGGUUCUUUCCUCUACAUGUAUCUGUAAUCUGUAUCAAGUUUCAUAAAAACUACUUUCAAAUGCUUUGACAUAGAACGUGAACCUGCAGAAUUGCAAUCGGUGAUCUCGCAGAUUCCAUAAAUCCGAAGGAUGGUGCUGCUGCUUUUCAUCUCUUCAUCUUUAGUUUUGGGUUUUGAGUAGAUUUCUUGUAUUCAGCAUUUGGGAUAUUCCUGGUGUAUUUUCUAUUACAGAGAAAGCAAAGAUGGGAGGGAAAGAGUGGUACUUCAAUAGUUCUGGUGAGACAGACAGGAAAGAUGAGUUAUCUAAAUUAUAAUUCGUAAAAUUCUGGACAAACUUAAAUCGUGGAGAAGUAAGUCUCAGUUCCCCUCAACUCUCUUCUUUCCUCGUCUUUCAUCAAUGUUUAGAUUUACAGAGAAGAAGAGAAUGUUAAGGUUUUUGAUUACUUCACCUAGGAUUCUGUAAUAAUCAUUUCAUCUGAUUUGAUUUUUUGAAUAUAGGGUUACUCUAUAAUCAACAAGAUCUUUAUGGAUUCUAAUCAAGUUUUUUUCUUUAACUGGACCAAGAAGAUUGAAUACGUAUGUGACACGGGAAAAUUGGUCAUCAGCGAUGAGGCUUGAGAUUUUAUUUGUAUCCAUGGUUAAGAAAUUGGAUCAGGUAAAGCCAGGCUUAGGCAUUUUGUUUUGUACGAUAUUAGGUAGGCUUCAAAUCUAUCUUGAUACAUAAACAUUUGAUGUUGUUUUAUCAGCUCGGGUUGAUUUUUUUUAUUAUAUUCUCAUCUUAUUACAUGAAUAUCGAAGUAGAACUAAACUGUGUGUCAUUAUCCUUUUUGCACAUUUAAUUUGGGGCGUCUCUUUAAGUAAUGAUCUAUUUUGUGAAAUCUAACUUAGAAUUCAUGUAGCUUCCAUUCAUAUGACAAUGUUAUUUGCGUUUUUGAAACAUACUUCUAUGUAUAAAUUUUCUUUUAUUCUGAAGCUAUAAUUCUUAUUCAGAUUGUGUUUUCUGACUAUGAUGACAAAUGACGUCUAAAUGCAGAUACUCAUUAUGAAUAAUACAGUAGGAAUUUGAGAUUACAAACUUCCAUCUGCUUAUGGAAGGAAAAGUUGCAUCUUCUAAUGUUGUUGUUGUCUUGGAAUGCAUUCGUGUCAGUUUAUAUCUGUUUUCCUUUUUCCCUUUGUGAUUAUUGUCAUUUUAAAUUUCAAUGUUGAUUUCAUGCUUUUGUUUUUGCCUAAAUUUGUGGUGUAGGUAUCAUUUUUGUUUUUUGAGUGUGAAGGUAUGCGAACUCCACAA